rnacentral:snRNA from 1 species
CAGAUUAGCAUGGCCUCUGCAAAAGGACGACACACAAAAUUAUGAAGUGGAUCUGCAUUUU